GGAAGCCGGAAGUGGGCAGGGUUUGCACGGAGGCGGAGCUUUAUUGGCAAACCUGAUUGGCUUUUUGAGAAUCCUGAUCUGUUCCCCAGGCUGGAGUGCAGUGAAUGAUCUCGGCUCAUUGCAACCUCCGCCUCCCAGGAUCAAGAGUUUCCGGUAUCUCAGCUUUCCGAGUAGCUGGGAUUAUAGACGUGCACCACCAUGCCUAGCUAAUUUUUGUAUUUUUAGUAGAGGCAGAGUUUCACCAUGUUGGCCAGGCUGGUCUCAAACUCCUGGCCUCAGGUGAUCUGCCCACUUCGGCCUCCCAAAGUGCUGGGAUUACAGGCGUGAGCCACCGCACCUGGCCCUCAUUCUCUUAGCAGUGUAUUUUGAAGAGAAGUUUUAACUUUUAAUAAAGUUUAAUUUACUUUUUUAUGGAUUACA